UACGGAGGGCGCGAGCGUUACCCGGAUUUACUGGGCGUAAAGGGCGUGUAGGCGGCUUGGGGCGUCCCAUGUGAAAGGCCACGGCUCAACCGUGGAGGAGCGUGGGAUACGCUCAGGCUAGACGGUGGGAGAGGGUGGUGGAAUUCCCGGAGUAGCGGUGAAAUGCGCAGAUACCGGGAGGAACGCCGAUGGAGAACGUAGCCACCGGGCUCACUUUUGACGCUGAGUCGCGGAAGCGUGGGGAGCAAACCGG
rnacentral:rRNA from 1 species